UACAGAGGGUGCAAGCGUUAAUCGGAAUUAUUGGGCGUAAAGCGCGCGUAGGUGGUUUAGUAAGUUUGAUGUGAAAGCCCUGGGCUUAACCUGGGAACUGCGUUGAAGACUGCUAGACUAGAGUCGGACAGAGGGUAGUGGAAUUUCCGGUGUAGCGGUGAAAUGCGUAGAGAUCGGAAAGAACACCAGUGGCGAAGGCGGCUACCUGGGUCCAGACUGACACUGAGGUGCGAAAGCAUGGGGAGCAAACAGG
rnacentral:rRNA from 1 species